rnacentral:rRNA from 1 species
AUUGAACGCUGGCGGCAUGCCUUACACAUGCAAGUCGAACGGUAACGCGGGGCAACCUGGCGACGAGUGGCGAACGGGUGAGUAAUACAUCGGAACGUGCCCAGUAGUGGGGGAUAGCCCGGCGAAAAGCCGGAUUAAUACCGCAUACGACCUACGGGUGAAAGCAGGGGAUCGCAAGACCUUGCGCCAUUGGAGCGGCCGAUGUCAGAUUAGGUUGUUGGUGGGGUAAAGGCCUACCAAGCCGACGAUCUGUAGCUGGUCUGAGAGGACGACCAGCCACACUGGGACUGAGACACGGCCCAGACUCCUACGGGAGGCAGCAGUGGGGAAUUUUGGACAAUGGGCGGAAGCCUGAUCCAGCCAUGCCGCGUGAGUGAAGAAGGCCUUC